rnacentral:rRNA from 1 species
AUUGAACGCUGGCGGCAUGCCUUACACAUGCAAGUCGAACGGCAGCGCGGACUUCGGUCUGGCGGCGAGUGGCGAACGGGUGAGUAAUGUAUCGGAACGUACCAUUCAGUGGGGGAUAACGCAGCGAAAGUUGCGCUAAUACUGCAUAUUCUGUGCGCAGGAAAGCAGGGGAUCGCAAGACCUUGCGCUGAUUGAGCGGCCGAUAUCAGAUUAGCUAGUUGGUGAGGUAAAGGCUCACCAAGGCGACGAUCUGUAGCGGGUCUGAGAGGAUGAUCCGCCACACUGGAACUGAGACACGGUCCAGACUCCUACGGGAGGCAGCAGUGGGGAAUUUUGGACAAUGGGCGGCAAGACCUGAUCCAGCCAUGCCGCGUGAGUGAAGAAGG